rnacentral:misc_RNA from 1 species
CGAGAGGAAGAAGAAGAAAAGGGUAAUUCAUUAGAAAAUUAAAAGGGAGCAAAAAGGGAAAGGGACAAACUUAAAAUUGUAAAAUUUGAUUAUAGUAGAGAGAUCCAAAAUAAAACUUUGGGAUAUAGCCACCCAAAAAGGUUCCCAAUUUAACAAUCCCUUGUUCUCUAGUUCACCUUCUUUGCAUCUGCUUGGUCUUUGGAACUCUUCCAUUCCCAUUUCAGCCCCAACAUUCAAAUG